GACGAACGCUGGCGGCGUGCCUAAUACAUGCAAGUAGAACGCACAGUUUAUACCGUAGCUUGCUACACCAUAGACUGUGAGUUGCGAACGGGUGAGUAACGCGUAGGUAACCUGCCUGGUAGCGGGGGAUAACUAUUGGAAACGAUAGCUAAUACCGCAUAAUAUUAAUUAUUGCAUGAUAAUUAAUUGAAAGGUGCAAUUGCACCACUACCAGAUGGACCUGCGUUGUAUUAGCUAGUAGGUGAGGUAACGGCUCACCUAGGCGACGAUACAUAGCCGACCUGAGAUGGUGAUCGGCCACACUGGGACUGAGACACGGCACAGACUCCUACGGGAGGCAGCAGUAGGGAAUCUUCGGCAAUGGACGAAAGUCUGACCGAGAAACGCCGCGGGAGUGAAGAAGGGUUUCGGAUCGUAAAGCUCGGUUGUAAGGGAAGAACGGGUGUGAGAGUGGAAAGUUCACACUGUGACGGUAUCUUACCAGAAAGGGACGGCUAACUACGUG
rnacentral:rRNA from 1 species